rnacentral:rRNA from 1 species
UACGUAGGGUGCAAGCGUUAAUCGGAAUUACUGGGCGUAAAGGGCGCGUAGGCGGUCGUGACAAGUCACUUGUGAAAUCUCCGGGCUUAACUCGGAACGGUCAAGUGAUACUGUCGGACUAGAGUACAGAAGGGGGCAACUGGAAUUCUCGGUGUAGCGGUGAAAUGCGUAGAUAUCGAGAGGAACACCUGCGGCGAAGGCGGGUUGCUGGGCUGAUACUGACGCUGAGGCGCGAAAGCUAGGGGGAGCGAACGGG